GUGCUUGCCUCAGCAGCACGUAUACUAAAAUUGAAACGAUACAGAGAUUAGCAUGACCUUUGCACAAUAAUGACACACAAAUUCGUGAAGUAUUCCAUGUCGUU